rnacentral:lncRNA from 1 species
CAUUUUGCCGAGUGGAGCUAGAAUACUUGUAAAAGUAUUAUGUGAGUGGUACUUUUGAGUUUUUAGUCAUUGGAUGGAGAGAUGUGAGGUUGAGAUGAUGGUGGUAGGUGGUGGUAGGUGAAAUAGUGUUUGAUCCAAGGGCUAUUAGUAAUCAAGGAGUAGAUCUAAUGGCUAAAAACCUAAUAGCAUCAUUGGGGUAAUACUUGUAAAAGUAUUCUAGCUCAAUUCCAUUUUGCCACUCUAUUUUUUCUAAAUUAUGUCCUUAUCAUUCUAUAGUUUGUAAAUUAUAAUAUUUUAUGUGAGAUUUUAGAUAGUCUUAUAUAUAAGAUAUAAUCGACAUAAAAUUUUUUAAUUUGGCUUAAAUAUUUUGGAUAGUAAAUAGGCCCAAAAGAUUACGAGAGUUAAGCAUGUUAGGACAGAAGUAGUCCUAAAAUGGGUGACCCUCGAGAAGUUGGGAUGCCACAGUUGGUAUCAAAGCCAAUUAGCAGCUGAAAGUGUGAGAUGAGUCUUAGCUGAGUCAGAAUUAUACAGCGGGGAGAGCAAGACUCUUACACUGUUGACUGUUGUGGAUGGAGCACAGUUCACCAUAAGGUCAGUUUAGACUAGCGAUACAAGUUUCACAUCGUCUGAUAUUUGUGAGUCUAAACUUGACGAGAAUGUCAGGACUUAAGAGAGAGAGAAUGUAAGACUACUCUUAACUGGUCUUAAAUAUUUUAGAUGGUGAUUUGACCCAAGAAUUUAAGAAAGUUAAGUAUAUUAAGACGGAAGAAAUCUUAUGAUGGAUAAUUUUCUGGGAAGUUGGAGCGUCAUAUUUUAGUAUCUUA